AGAUCAUGAUGUGGAUAUAGCCUCAUCAUAUCUUUAUACCUCUCCCAAGCUUCAAAAAGCGACUCACCUUUUUUUUUGUCUAAAACCGUUUAUUUGGCUCUUUAGCAU